rnacentral:misc_RNA from 1 species
ACACCUCUGAAUAUCUCAGUCUAUGGUAACCACGUAAGUUACACUUUAGAACAUUUAUGUAAACAUAUAAUAAAAGAAUAACUAUAAAUGUUUUUGCAGCAUUUAAUGGAGCUGCAUCGAUCUAAUGAUACACAAAUGUCCGUUAAAGAACAAUUCAACUAUCACACUGGAAUAAAGACUACAUGAUACAUGAUAUAGACCUCCACUUUCUUGGUAAAGUUAUCGGUCUGAUACAAGGGUAAGUUGUAGUUUAGGUCGAUUAGGCUGAGGCUCAACGACUUCCAUGUGAAUUCUCACUGUUCCAAGUACACCAUACGAAACACUUCCAUCAAGCUUUCUAAUUUUCUGUUGUUUCUCAUCGAUUACCCAUUCCCCUCCAUUGUCCCCUUUAGACGUCAAGUAUACAGGCCCUUCAAUACCAUACUUGGGCACAAAGACAAUGAAGCCAUUGGAUCUUAUUUUAACUAUUCUCGCCUCGGUAUCUGUUGGUCGCUUCCUGAAGAAAAUGAGAGUAUGGAGCUCUACUGAUGCUCUGCUGGCCAUCUGAGCAUUUCUAUGCCGAUAAUUUAGAUUGUCAGAAAUACUAGUUAGCUUGGGUCUAUCUUGGAACACACCAGGAAGCUGAUAAAUUCCCAAAGAAGCAGCAAGCAAUCGAUGGACGAUGACAUCAGCAUAUCUUCUAAUGGGCGAGGUGAAAUGAGUAUAAAGAGGAGAGGCAAGACCAUAAUGAAGAUAUUCAGGAGGACUAAGGUCUCCACUACAAAAGUAAACCGCCUGUGUCAUGCAUCUGGUUGCCAGAAUCCGGAUCAGCUUGUUGAAGUAUGGAUCGUCACCCUCGGCAAGAUCUAGAGAGUCAGCCAAUGCUUUGGAUGAUGUCACAUCCAAACUAAGACCAACUGCUUCAGCUGUGCGGAGAAGAGGCUCAAGCAUUUCUUUGGUUGGGCUUGGAUGGCGUCUUAAUAGUGAGCAGACAGGAAAAUGCUUAAGGAUUUUUUCAGCAACUGCAACAUUAGCAGCAAGCAUAAACUCCUCAACCAUUUGGUUUGCUUCACGAAUCUGAUACAUUCCAAUAUCAAGAGGGUCAUGAGUUUCAGUAUCAAUCUGAAAUUUGACUUCAGCAGAAGCAAGUGUCAGUGCACCCCUAUCAAUGCGUCUUUGCCUCAUUAUCUUGGCUAACCCAUUCAAAUUUCGUAAAUCUGAAGUUAUUGGAUCCACCAAGCGACUGUCAUCCAUUCUCGCUUGUGCCUCGACAUAGGAUAAUGCUGCACAUGAUUUAAUCACACUUUUAGUGUAUCUUGUAGAAAUAACCUCAGCAUCAGGUGUCA